rnacentral:rRNA from 1 species
ACGAUAUAGCAUUGUUACAUUUGAGUCGAAGGACUUGGGAAAGUUCGCCAUAGAGGGUGAUAGCCCCGUAGGCGUAAAGAUGUAGCAGCUUAGUGUUUCCAGAGUACGGCGAGGCACGUGAAACCUUGUCGGAAGACGCGCAGACCACUGCGUAAGACUAAAUACUAACUAAUGACCGAUAGUGAACCAGUACCAUGAGGGAAAGGUGAAAAGAACCCCGAGAGGGGAGUGAAAAGACUCUGAAACUGUAUGCUUACAAAAAGUCAGAGGCCGUUAAAGGCUGAUGGCGUGCCUAUUGAAGAAUGAACCGGCGAGUUAUAUUAUCAUGCAAGGUUAAGUAGAAGAUACGGAGCCGUAGCGAAAGCGAGUCUAAAUAGGGCGAAUGAGUAUGAUGAUAUAGACCCGAAACCAGGUGAGCUAGCCAUGACCAGGAUGAAGUCGGGGUACAACCCGAUGGAGGUCCGAACCGACGUUCGUUGAAACGCCCGCGGAUGAGUUGUGGCUAGAGGAGAAAUUCCAACCGAACUUGGUUAUAGCUGGUUCUCCCCGAAAUAGCUUUAGGGCUAGCGUCAGGUGAUGCAACGUGGAGGUAGAGCACUGAAUGUAUGAUGGCCGCAUCUAGUGGUACUGAUUGCAAUCAAACUCCAAAUGCCAUGAUUGUUAACCUGGCAGUCAGUCUGUGGGAGAUAAGUUCCAUGGACAAAAGGGAAACAGCCCAGAUCGUCAAUUAAGGUCCCUAAAUUUAUGCUAAGUGUUAAAGGAUGUAGAAAUGCACAAACAACUAGGAUGUUGGCUCAGAAGCAGCCACCAUUUAAAGAGUGCGUAACAGCUCACUAGUCGAGUGUCUCUGCGCCGAAGAUUUACCGGGGCUAAGCAUAAUACCGAAAUUACGGAUUUAAUGUUUCAUUAAGUGGUAGGGGAGCGUUCCAUAUGCGGUGAAGCCAUAUCGUGAGGAGUGGUGGAGCGUAUGGAAGUGAGUAUGCCGGUGUAAGUAACGAAUGAAGGUGAGAAUCCUUCACACCGAUUGACUAAGGUUUCCAGGGCAAGGGUCGUCCUCCCUGGGUUAGUCAGGGCCUAAGGCGAGGCCGAAAGGCGUAGUCGAUGGACAGCAGGUUGAUAUUCCUGCACUCGUAUAUGUGCGAUGUAAUGACAGAGGGGGUUAAUUCAGGCUGGUUAAUGGAUUCCAGUCUAAGCGAGGUAGCUGUACUAUUGGCAAAUCCGUAGUACUUAAGGCGAAGGCGUGAUGGGGAACGAAUGGAGCAAUCCUAGUAGUGAAGUUGAAUAUACCAACUCUCGAGAAAAGUUGCUAGCUUAAGCAUAUACGACCUGUACCGAGAACGGACACACGUGGUCAAGGAGAGUAUCCUAAGGUGAGCGAGAUAACUGUUGUUAAGGAACUCUGCAAAAUUACUUCGUAAGUUAGCAAGAAGAAGUGCUCUAGAAAUAGAGCCGCAGUGAAGAGGCCCAGGUAACUGUUUAACAAAAACACAGCUCUAUGCUAAGUCGCAAGACGAUGUAUAUGGGGUGACGCCUGCCCAGUGCUGGAAGGUUAAAAGGUGAGGUUAGCGCAAGCGAAGCUUUGAAUUGAAGCCCCAGUGAACGGCGGCCGUAACUAUAACGGUCCUAAGGUAGCGAAAUUCCUUGUCAGGUAAGUUCUGACGCGCACGAAUGGUGUAAUAAUCUGGGCGCUGUCUCGACAGCAGACUCGGUGAAAUCUUAAUACCUGUAAAGAUGCAGGUUACCCGCGACUAGACGGAAAGACCCCAUGGAGCUUUACUAUAGCUUAAUAUUGAGUAAUUGUAGUUCAUGUACAGUAUAGGUGGGAGACUUUGAAGUAGUGGCGUCAGCUGCUAUGGAGUCGACAUUGGGAUACCACUCUUGAAUUAUGAUUAUUCUAACCCACGCCCUACACGGGGUGGGGGACAGUGUUAGGUGGGUAGUUUGACUGGGGCGGUCGCCUCCUAAAGUGUAACGGAGGCGCCCAAAGGUACCCUCAGUAUGGUUGGAAAUCAUAUUUCGAGUGCAAAGGCAUAAGGGUGCUUGACUGCGAGACUUACAAGUCGAGCAGGGACGAAAGUCGGGCUUAGUGAUCCGG